rnacentral:lncRNA from 1 species
UUGAGAUGCAUGGGACCAUUUCCUGCAUUAUUCUUUCUCACUCUGUUUUCCAGAGCAUUUGCAGAUUCAGUCUCUCCAAGGGAGCUGAACAUGCAGGAAGCACUGACCAAUGGUGCUGCUUUCAGAGCAUCAAGAUGUACCUCCACCCUAAAGCUUUGAGCCCUGCAAGUAGCUGAGCUUGUGGACGGAAGCCCUUCACCUGUGUAACUGUAAGAAGAAAGACUCUCCGAGUUGGAAGAGGCACGAAGAACCACGUAGCCCCACAGAUGAGGAGAUUCCUGUUGAGAAACCGUCACCCAGUCUCUGCUUAGGAACCACAUUAAUGAGUGUCCUGGAAGGGAAGAAAGGGCUCUCUGACCCGACAGGUAGCCCUGCUUGGAGGGCAGGGAGUGGCGGCCAAACCUGGUACCCUGGCUGCCAGCCAACUGCCCUGCAGAUGUAUGACGAGCUCGCGUGCGACUUGGGCCAGUGGGUGCAGCAGCCAAGCAGUGGCCGGUCCCCGUGGCGAGUGCCCGAGGCCAAGCGGGGGUCUCCGUGGGUCUGGGUGGCACCGUGGAGAAGCCGAGGGGAGCCACCGCUUUGUCCCCUGGAAGAGGCACUGAUGCGCGUAUCCAGAAAUGUUGGCUGGCGGCUCGCGGGGCUCCAGUUCUGAACUCUGGGUCUCAGGUUAAUGCAGCUGCUUUCAGGCUGUGACGUUUGUCCCCAGGAGCCCACGGUGCCAUCCACGGGCCAUCACACAGGUGGCGGUACUCGUUUUCUCCAGACUUUCAGAAGUAACCGGUGGUUAGUCGGUCACUUGAGGAUUGCAAAAGCACCGAGGGAGACAUGUAACGUCUACACAUCCACAAGCAUCUUCCUAUCAAAGCAACCUAUUGAGGUAGUAGUAUGGCAUCCUAGGAGAGGUGAAAACUUUGGAGAAGCCCUGGACUUUAGUUGUGGCCCUACCAAAAUAAUUUGCUAUUAAUUCAUCUAAAAUAUUUACUCAUUCUCCACUGUGGAAAUGCCGGGAAUGCAAUGAUAUACAAGACAGAUACGGUGUUG